rnacentral:rRNA from 1 species
GAUCCUGGCUCAGGAUGAACGCUAGCUACAGGCUUAACACAUGCAAGUCGAGGGGGCAGCAUGAACUUAGCUUGCUAAGUUUGAUGGCGACCGGCGCACGGGUGAGUAACACGUAUCCAACCUUCCGUUUACUCAGGGAUAGCCUUUCGAAAGAAAGAUUAAUACCUGAUAGUAUGGUGAGAUUGCAUGAUAGCACCAUUAAAGAUUUAUUGGUAAACGAUUGGGAUGCGUUCCAUUAGGG